GAUCCGGUAACUUCGGGAAAAGGAUUGGCUCUGAGGGCUGGGCACGGGGGUCCCAGUCCCGAACCCGUCGGCUGUCGGUGGACUGCUCGAGCUGCUCCCGCAGCGAGAGCGGGUCGCCGCGUGCCGGCCGGGGGACGGACUGGGAACGGUUCCUCGGGGGCCUUCCCCGGGCGUCGAACAGCCAACUCAGAACUGGUAC
rfam:Nicotiana attenuata strain TT chromosome 7, whole genome shotgun sequence.